rnacentral:rRNA from 1 species
GUACGGGAGGCAGCAGUAAGGAAUAUUGGACAAUGGUCGCAAGACUGAUCCAGCCAUGCCGCGUGAAGGAUGACGGCCCUAUGGGUUGUAAACUUCUUUUGUAUGGGAAAAAACCUCUUUACGUGUAAAGAGCUGAUUGUACCAUAAGAAUAAGGAUCGGCUAACUCCGUGCCAGCAGCCGCGGUAAUACGGAGGAUCCAAGCGUUAUCCGGAUUCAUUGGGUUUAAAGGGUGCGUAGGCGGAAUGAUAAGUCAGUGGUGAAAUCUCUUCGCUUAACGAAGAAACUGCCAUUGAUACUGUCAAUCUUGAGUACAUUUGAUGUGGGCGGAAUGUGCCAUGUAGCGGUGAAAUGCUUAGAUAUGACACAGAACACCGAUUGCGAAGGCAGCUCACAAAACUGUAACUGACGCUGAGGCACGAAAGCGUGGGUAUCAAACAGGAUUAGAUACCCGCGUAGUCCG